rnacentral:misc_RNA from 1 species
GAACGCACAUUGCGCCCUCUGGUAUUCCGGGGGGCAUGCCUGUCCGAGCGUCAUUGCGAACCCUCAAGCACGGCUUGUGUAAUGGGUCGUGGCGUCCCCGUUCUCGCGGGACGGGCCCGAAAGGCAGUGGCGGCGUCGCGGUAAUCCGUUGAGCCAUAGCGUAUGGGGACUCCGUCACACGCUAGCGGCGCGGACCGACGCUCGCCCCGACUCUCGAGAGAGUCAACUCUUUAUUCUUCAAGGUUGACCUCGGAUCAGGUAGGGAUACCCGCUGAACUUAAGC